CUGCCCGGACCCCUAUCCGGAUGGCCUGCCUGGAUGCUAUACCCGGAUGCCCUGCCCGCUUCUGCUUUAAUUUUUGACAACAUUGGAAAAUGCGGAAAUAUCCGUUUGAAGCACAAAACUGUCCGUGCCUGGCUUCAGUCCUCAAUUUCUGGGAUCCGGUCUUACACAACUUUAUGCAACAUAAUUUUCCGGAAAUGGAAGUCCCGGAAGUCACAAAGGUGAAGAGGAGAGAUCAUCUGAAAAGCGGCCCAGCAUCAAAGGAGACAGCAGGAG